AGCGAACGCUGGCGGCAGGCCUAACACAUGCAAGUUGAACGAACCCUUCGGGGUUAGUGGCGGACGGGUGAGUAACACGUGGGAACGUGCCUUUAGGUUCGGAAUAACUCAGGGAAACUUGUGCUAAUACCGAAUGUGCCCUUCGGGGGAAAGAUUUAUCGCCUUUAGAGCGGCCCGCGUCUGAUUAGCUAGUUGGUGAGGUAAAGGCUCACCAAGGCGACGAUCAGUAGCUGGUCUGGGAGGAUGAUCAGCCACAUUGGGACUGAGACACGGCCCAAACUCCUACGGGAGGCAGCAGUGGGGAAUCUUGCGCAAUGGGCGAAAGCCUGACGCAGCCAUGCCGCGUGAAUGAUGAAGGUCUUAGGAUUGUAAAAUUCUUUCACCGGGGACGAUAAUGACGGUACCCGGAGAAGAAGCCCCGGCUAACUUCGUGCCAGCCGCCGCGGUAAAAC
rnacentral:rRNA from 1 species